AUGAUUGAAAAAUGUGAAGAGAUCAAAUUAAAAUACUAUACUUGUUUAAAUGAAAGCAACAGAAAUCCAAAGAAAUGUAAGGUCAUUGAAGAAGAGUUAAGGGAUUGUUCUAAAACUACAGGGGAAAACUACUGCAUAGAUGAAAUCCAUAAUCUUAUGAAAUGCUCAAAGUCACCAGAUCCAAAUGUUUGUGCCAACGAAUUUUUCCUCUUCCGAGAAUGUAAUAGACCAGAUGGACAUCAUAUGACUAUAGAAGUAUUAUGGGAAAAAAAAAAAAAAUAUAUUUACUUAUAUACAUGUGUCUACUUAUAUUUAUUUAAUAUUCAAAUAACUAUAUUAACAAAAAAAAAAGAAAAAAAAAAAAAACAAACAAGCAAACAAGCAAACAAACACACAAACACACAAACACACAAACACACAAACAAAUAUAUACAUAUACAUAUGUGCUUAUAUUUCAACUUUUUUUUUUUCUUUUUUUUAAAACACAGGGAGACAAAUAUGUCAUUGCAGAAAAGCACUUGGAUAAAUACAACGUCAGUAACGCAACAAUUGGACCAGUGCAUGCUCCGGAAAGAAAUAAUGCAAAUACAGAAUCUUUUUUAGAAAAAAUGAAAUCAACAUUACACUUAAAAAACUUUAAGGAAAAAUUUGUAGCAUAUAAGUGGUAAAAAAAAAAACAAAUGAAGAUAUUACGAUUUGAUUUGAAAUAAGUUACAAAAGUUGUUUACUUUU
rnacentral:lncRNA from 1 species